rnacentral:rRNA from 1 species
CUGGCGGCGUGCUUAACACAUAGCAAGUCGAACGCGAAAGGGACUUCGGUCCUGAGUAAAGUGGCGCACGGGUGAGUAACGCGUAGAUAACCUGUCUUCAUGUCUGGAAUAAUACGCCGAAAGGGGUACUAAUACCGGAUAUUCUUGCUUUUCAUAAGUUAUGCAAGCAAAGGUGGCCUCUGCAUAUGCUACUGCAUGAAGAGGGGUCUGCGUACCAUUAGCUAGUAGGUGGGGUAAUGGCCUACCUAGGCGACGAUGGUUAGCGGGUCUGAGAGGAUGAUCCGCCACACUGGCACUGGAACACGGGCCAGACUCCUACGGGAGGCAGCAGUGAGGAAUAUUGCGCAAUGGGGGAAACCCUGACGCAGCGACGCCGCGUGAGUGAAGGAAGGCCUUCGGGUCGUAAAGCUCUGUCAAGAGGAAAGAAGUGUACAAUGGCUAAUACCUGUUGUAUUUGACGGUACCUCUAAAGGAAGCACCGGCUAACUCCGUGCCAGCCGCAGC